UACGGGGGGUGCAAGCGUUAAUCGGAAUGACUGGGCGUAGAGGGCAUGUAGGCGGAUAGGUAAGUUAGAUGUGAAAGGCCUGGGCUUAACCUAGGAAUUGCAUUUAAAACUAUCUAACUAGAGUACAGUAGAGGGAGGUAGAAUUCCACGUGUAGCGGUGAAAUGCGUAGAGAUGUGGAGGAAUACCGGUGGCGAAGGCGACCUUCUGGACAGAUACUGACGCUGAGAUGCGAAAGCGUGGGGAGCAAACAGG
rnacentral:rRNA from 1 species